rnacentral:lncRNA from 1 species
UAAAUUUGUUUAAUAAAAUAGUCAGUUAAUGGUCUAACUUCAUAGGAAUAUUCACUUUGAACAUUAUCUUUUACAAGUUCCACAACUGAAAUUGAAAAAUGAGCCACCAAAUUCAUGGUACAUUGAUAACUUCUCGCCCAAACAGGUACUAGUGUCACGAACUGCUAAUUUCUCAGCAGCAAGCAUGAAUGUUAAUUGUCCAAAUAAAUUAAUCAUUAAAAUGGUAAUAACAUCACAAAAAGAUUCUAGGGAGAAAGUCAGGUCCCGUAGGAGCAACAAAGCAACAAGGGUCCAAUUCCACCUCCUGCAGAGCAUUAAAACGGUACAAAUUGCAACCUGCAAGAGAAUGACUCUCAACAAAAGAUCGCAUCACUCACUAACAUUCCAACUCAGGAAUGUGAUCUCAAUGAACAGAGCGAGGACCUCCUAUACCAAAUUUUCAAACUUGCAGUGCAGUUUUGUAGACCAUUGUCUCCUUGUGAAUUUGAUGGCAACUAUUCUCAACAAGGUCAAGAAGAAAAUAGAUGGAAAACAAAACAAGCCUAGAGGAACAUUACAAGGUUUGCUUUCAUAAGGAGUAAUUCCGGGAUUUAGAUUCUGUUAGGAACUUAUUAUCUAGAGUUGUUCGGCUUUGGUCCAUGAAUAUCAAUGACGAGCUUAUUAUUGACUCAAUCACUGACUUGCGACUAAUCUGGCACUUAAGUACUAACUUUUAUAUAGAAAUCAGAAAUCAAGGCAAUGCAUCGUAUAUUCCAAUACUCCCAUUUUCCUCGUAUAACUCCAUAACGUGAUUAGACUUACCAGUUAGGACCCUGGCAAAUGACAAAUUGGAUGUGGAUUCAGAAGUUACAACUUACAUAUGUAUAAUUUAAUAAUAAAUAUGGCACGAUGAAAUCAAGCUUAACAUUGACAUUUGAUCUAAUAAAACCAUAACAGCAUUUGUCAUCUAUAUGCCCAGGACGUGAGUAAAAUUUCCAAUACUUAACAUCAAUACUAUCCAAAGAAUGGAAUAUGUGCAAUCGUAAUUUGAAUACUGAUCACCAACAUUCACGUUUACCUAUCACAAAUAAAUACUGAAGAAAAUGAAAUUAAAAAGAAAAUAAGCGGGGAUGGGCUGACAAUUUACAAGAGCACAGGGAGAAUUUGGGUAUUUGGAGAGAAGAGUCGCGGAGUGCUUGAGGGCGUUCUUGAACUGGUGAGAAUCAAUGGCAUCCCAAAUGGGUCGGACCCGUCGCUCCGGAAUGUUGCCCGCUAACCUGAAUUUGGACGCCAGUCAGGAAAAAGAGUUCUUAAGAAUUUUGGUCGCUUAAUGGGUGCACUUAACAGAACGGGGAAAAUAAAAAUAAAUAUAAGGCAGGGUUGGGAAUUUGGAGAUGCGCAGGUGAAGGGGGCUCUGCCUCCUAUCCAAAGAUUGAAGAAGAGGAAGAGGAAGAAGAAAGAGGAGGAAGGGGCCAAGAUUUCAAUUUGCCUCUGUGUUUAGGGUGGGGAAAAUGGAAGAAGAGGUCGUUUCCCGUGUUUUG